GAGGAAGUGUACCAUCCAGGGGACGGCCGCUCCACAUUUGCACCCUGCUCCCUCUUAUGCUGUGCUGGUGCCUCUGUACGACCACCACCUCUUCCUCAAAACUGCACACAUCACUCGCAUGACCUUCAUUCCAUGUGGGGUCUAGGACCUCAUCAUCCUCCACAUCAUCUUCCACCCACUCCUCAACCCUGCCCUCCUUGCCGGUCUGCACACUGCAGAAUGCCACAGUAGUUGGCACCUGUGUUUCAUCAUCAUCAGAGAUGUGCUGCGGUGGUCCUUGCAUGUCCACAUCUUGACACAUAAGUGGUUGUGCAUCAGUGCACUCAAUUUCUUCCACUUCUGGGGCAGGGCUAGGUGGAUGGCCCACUGAAACCCCGCCAGCAGAGUCAUCAAAAAGCAUAAGAGACUGCUGUAUGACUUGUAGCUCAGACUGCUUGGCUGAUUUGCAAGGGAGUGAGGUGAAAGACAGAUGACCAUGGGCUGCAUGUGCCAACUCUGAGCUUUCAUCAGGGGACAGGGUGAGAGACAAUGUUAAGGAACUGGAUGCACUGUCAGCCAUCCAAUCUACUAUCGCCUGUACUUGUUCUGGCCUCACCAUUCGUAGAGCAGCAUUCGGGCC